GUACGGGGGGUGCGAGCGUUGUCCGGAAUCACUGGGCGUAAAGGGCGCGUAGGUGGCGUCGUAAGUCUGUGGUGAAAGCCCGGGAGCUCAACUCCGGGUCUGCCGCGGAUACUGCGAGGCUUGAGUGCUGUAGAGGGGGGUAGAAUGCCGGGUGUAGUGGUGAAAUGCGUAGAGAUCAGGAGGAACACCGGUGGCGAAGGCGGCCUACUGGGCCAGCACUGACGCUGGAGGCGCGAAAGCUCGGGGAGCGAACGGG
rnacentral:rRNA from 1 species